rnacentral:rRNA from 1 species
CUUCGGCCCGAGUUGUAAUUUGCAGAGGAUGUUUUUGGCGCGGUGCCUUCCGAGUUCCCUGGAACGGGACGCCACAGAGGGUGAGAGCCCCGUAUGGUUGGACACUAAGCCUGUGUAAAACUCCUUCGACGAGUCGAGUAGUUUGGGAAUGCUGCUCUAAAUGGGAGGUAAAUCUCUUCUAAAGCUAAAUACCGGCCAGAGACCGAUAGCGCACAAGUAGAGUGAUCGAAAGAUGAAAAGCACCUUGAAAAGGGGGUUAAACAGUACGUGAAAUUGUUGAAAGGGAAGCGCUUAUGACCAGACUUGUGCCGUGCGGCUCAUCCGGGGUUCUCCCCGGUGCACUCCGCACGGCUCAGGCCAGCAUCGGUUUUCGUUGGGGGAUAAGAACUGUAGGAACGUGGCCCCUUUCGGGGGGUGUUAUAGCCUAUGGUACGAUACCCUGGCGGGGACCGAGGACCGCGCUUCGGCAAGGAUGCUGGCGUAAUGGUCAUCAGCGACCCGUCUUGAAACACGGACCAAGGAGUCGUCCAUUAGAGCGAGCGUUUGGGUGUAAAACCCGCACGCGUAAUGAAAGUGAAAUUAGGUGAGAGCUUCGGCGCAUCAUCGACCGAUCCUGAUGUUCUCGGAAGGAUUUGAGUAAGAGUUUUAACGGACGGACCCGAAAGACAGUGAACUAUGCUUGUAUAGGGUGAAGCCAGAGGAAACUCUGGUGGAGGCUCGCAGCGGUUCUGACGUGCAAAUCGAUCGUCAAAUAUGAGCAUGGGGGCGAAAGACUAAUCGAACUGUCUAGUAGCUGGUUACCGCCGAAGUUUCCCUCAGGAUAGCAGUGUUGACCUUCAGUUUUAUGAGGUAAAGCGAAUGAUUAGGGACUCGGGGGCGCUUAUUAGCCUUCAUCCAUUCUCAAACUUUAAAUAUGUAAGAAGCCCUUGUUACUUAAUUGAACGUGGGCAUUCGAAUGUACCAACACUAGUGGGCCAUUUUUGGUAAGCAGAACUGGCGAUGCGGGAUGAACCGAACGCGGGGUUAAGGCGCCAGAGUGUACGCUCAUCAGACACCACAAAAGGCGUUAGUACAUCUUGACAGCAGGACGGUGGCCAUGGAAGUCGGAAUCCGCUAAGGACUGUGUAACAACUCACCUGCCGAAUGUACUAGCCCUGAAAAUGGAUGGCGCUCAAGCGUACCGCCCAUACCCCGCCUUCAGGGUAGAAACGAUGCC